UACGGGGGGGCAAGGCGUUGUUCGGAAUUACUGGGCGUAAAGCGCAGCGUGAGGCGGCUUUUCAAGGUCAGGCGUGAAAGCCCCAGGCUUAACCUGGGAACUGCGUUUGAUACUGUUAAGCUAGAGUGUGGAAGGGGCUGAGCUGGAAUUCCGGUGGUGUACGCGGGUGAAAUGCGUAGGAUAAUACGGAGGAACACCAGCGGCGAAGGCGG
rnacentral:rRNA from 1 species